rnacentral:rRNA from 1 species
AUUGAACGCUGGCGGCAUGCUUUACACAUGCAAGUCGAACGGUAACAGGCCGCAAGGUGCUGACGAGUGGCGAACGGGUGAGUAAUGCAUCGGAACGUGCCCAGUCGUGGGGGAUAACUACUCGAAAGAGUAGCUAAUACCGCAUACGAUCUAUGGAUGAAAGCGGGGGACGGAAGGCCCUGCGGGGAUUGGACGGUCGGAUGUCAGAUUAGGUAGUUGGUGGGGAAAAGGCUCACCAAGCCAACGAUCUGUAGCUGGUCUGAGAGGACAACCAGCCACACUGGGACUGAGACACGGCCCAGACUCCUACGGGAGGCAGCAGUGGGGAAUUUUGGACAAUGGGCGCAAGCCUGAUCCAGCAAUGCCGCGUGCAGGAAGAAGGCCUUCGGGUUGUAAACUGCUUUUGUACGGAACGAAACGGCUCUGGUUAAUACCCGGGGCUAAUGACGGUACCGUAAGAAUAAGCACCGGCUAACUACGUG